CCUGGAUGUAUGGGCCAAUGCGACAGUGAACCUGAUGGUGACUGAAGGAAAAUUUGCCCGGAAAAGCCUCAGCACCGUUAACACUAUCCGUAUGGUCUUUGCCUGCCUGGUUCUCUGCAUUUUGGCACUGGUAGUGGGAGAGUAUAUUCAUGCAUCAGGCAGCAACUUCACUCAGCGUGAGGAGACACUGGGUCCACCCGAGACGCCAGGUGGAGGUGCACCCCUGGUUGGGGCCGCAUAACACAUAAUCAUUGUUCCAUCUACUCCGGUCUCCUUCCACGGACAAUGACCAGCACCAAAUGUUUCAGAGAAAGGAGAAAAUAUGCAUAGUUCACUGUGUAUGAUUAUUUCUUGACUUCCUGCUUGCAGCCAAUCUAUCAUUUAAAGUCCUGAAGCUGGAGUUAGCCAUAUAGCAUGAAAUGAGGUUGGCAUAGAAAUGUUAUUUCCCCUCAUUUUAUACAGCCCUUUAAAAAACCUUCCCUCAGUAUUUGAUUCUUUAACCUCCUACUGCAGCAAGUUCCACAGAUCAGCCCACAAGUGUGGGAGUUAUAUCCUGACCUUGUUACAUUUAAUUUUAGGAUGAAUAUAAUCUCCUCUUCUCCUGUGUUCUACUUGUAAUUGAAAAAAAACCUUCCCAUCAUGGUCAAGUCAGGAAAGAUUUGAGCAGGUGAAGGGGGAAGAAAACUUCUUUUAAAAAAAUCACAGCAAUUGUUAAUCCCCUGGUCAAGCUUUCACAUUUUAUAAUGAAGUGAACCAGCAGUGUCAUUUGAGGGGUCUCUCCUGAAAGGGAAUGGAAUGGGAACAGAGAGCCAAAUCAAGUCAAUCUCCUAGCCCAGGAGGGAAACAGUUGUGAAGAUAGCCACAAUGGCCAGAAUUAGGGUAAAUGUAUUGGACAAUGAGAUGCUGGAGUAAAGCCCCUUUUCUUAUAUCUAAUGUAAGCUGUGAUGGGAGACCCUGGCUAGUCAGCCCUCAUCCUUGUUUCCAUCCAGCAACAGGUCCAGUGGAUCUGUAUGUUCUUGUCCUGCAGAUGGAAAAACCUAAAGGCUGACUGUGAGAACAUGGUCCUAAAGGGUAAACACUAAAGAUACCAAGGCCUCCUGGGCCAAAGGAGGCCUGGAGAGUGGAGCUCAAGACAUUUCUCUGGUUUGUUGAUUGGUAUUCCUCUGUUAGGUGGGCACCCAAGUGUCCUGUUUGCCUUGUUACAUUAUCUGCAUAAUAGCUUCUUGGGUGCUCUAUUGUUG
rnacentral:lncRNA from 1 species